rnacentral:rRNA from 1 species
GAUGAAUGCUGGCGGCGUGCCUAAUACAUGCAAGUCGUGCGGCAGCGCGAGUAGUUUACUACUUGGCGGCGAGCGGCGGACGGCUGAGUAACGCGUGGGAACGUGCCCCAAAGUGAGGGAUAAGCCCGAGAAAUCGGGUCUAAUACCGCAUAUGGUCUUCGGAUUAAAGCUUCGACGCUUUGGGAGCGGCCCGCGUACGAUUAGAUUGUUGGUGAGGUAAUGGCUCACCAAGUCGACGAUCGUUAGCUGGUCUGAGAGGAUGAUCAGCCAGACUGGAACUGAGACACGGUCCAGACUCCUACGGGAGGCAGCAGUAAGGAAUCUUCCACAAUGGGGGCAACCCUGAUGGAGCAACGCCGCGUGCAGGAUGAAGGCCCUCGGGUCGUAAACUGCUUUUAUGAGUGAAGAAUAUGACGGUAACUCAUGAAUAAGCACCGGCUAACUACGUGCCAGCAGCCGCGGUCAUACGUAGGGUGCAAGCAUUAUCCGGAGUGACUGGGCGUAAAGAGUUGCGUAGGCGGUUAGUAAAGCGAAUAGUGAAACCUGGUGGCUCAACCAUACAGACUAUUAUUCGAACUCACUAACUCGAGAGUGGUAGAGGUAACUGGAAUUUCUUGUGUAGGAGUGAAAUCCGUAGAUAUAAGAAGGAACACCAAUGGCGUAGGCAGGUUACUGGACCAUUUCUGACGCUAAGGCACGAAAGCGUGGGGAGCGAACGGGAUUAGAUACCCCGGUAGUCCACGCCGUAAACGAUGGAUACUAGCUGUUGGAGGUAUCGACCCCUUCAGUAGCGAAGCUAACGCGUUAAGUAUCCCGCCUGUGGAGUACGGCCGCAAGGCUAAAACAUAAAGGAAUUGACGGGGAUCAGCACAAGCGGUGGAUCGUGUUCUUUAAUUCGAUGAUAAACGAAGAACCUUACCAGGGCUUGACAUCCAGGGAAGCACUACGAAAGUAGCGUGUGCCUUUUGGAACCCUGUGACAGGUGUUGCAUGGCCGUCGUCAGCUCGUGUCGUGAGAUGUUUGGUAAGUCAUCACGAGCGCACCCUUGUGAAUAGUUGUAUUUUUUCUAUUCAGACUGCUCUCUCUCUUAUAAAAUAGGGAGGAAAGGAGAGGGCAUGA